rnacentral:rRNA from 1 species
GAUGAACGCUGGCGGCGUGCCUAAUACAUGCAAGUCGAGCGAACAGACGAGGAGCUUGCUCCUCUGACGUUAGCGGCGGACGGGUGAGUAACACGUGGAUAACCUACCUAUAAGACUGGGAUAACUUCGGGAAACCGGAUCUAAUACCGGAUAAUAUAUUGAACCGCAUGGUUCAAUAGUGAAAGACGGUUUUGCUGUCACUAAUAGAUGGAUCCGCGCCGCAUUGGCUAGUUGGUAAGGUAACGGCUUACCAAGGCAACGAUGCGUAGCCGACCUGAGAGGGUGAUCGGCCACACUGGAACUGAGACACGGUCCAGACUCCUACGGGAGGCAGCAGUAGGGAAUCUUCCGCAAUGGGCGAAAGCUUGACGCAGCAACGCCGCGUGAGUGAUGAAGGUCUUCGGAUCGUAAAACUCUGUUAUUAGGGAAGAACAGAUGUGUAAGUAACUAUGCACGUCUUGACGGUACCUAAUCAGAAAGCCACGGCUAACUACGUG